rnacentral:rRNA from 1 species
GAUCAACGCUGGCGGCGUGCAUGAGACAUGCAAGUCGAACGAAGGAUCGGGCUUGCUCGAUCCUUAGUGGCGGACGGCUGAGUAACGCGUAGGUGACCUACCCCGAAGUGGGGAAUAACUGCCCGAAAGGGUGGCUAAUACCGCAUGUGGUCGCACGUUCAUUCGUGCGAGUAAAGCCGCAAGGCGCUUCGGGAGGGGCCUGCGUCCGAUUAGCUCGUUGGUGGGGUAAUGGCUUACCAAGGCGACGAUCGGUAGGUGGUCUGAGAGGACGAUCACCCAGACUGGGACUGAGACACGGCCCAGACUCCUACGGGAGGCAGCAGUCGGGAAUUUUGCCCAAUGGGGGAAACCCUGAAGCAGCAACGCCGCGUGAGGGAUGAAGGCCUUCGGGUUGUAAACCUCUUUUGUCAGGGACGAUGAUGACGGUACCUGGCGAAUAAGCCACGGCUAACUACGUG